AGAGUUUGAUCCUGGCUCAGAUUGAACGCUGGCGGCAGGCUUAACACAUGCAAGUCGAGCGGAGAUGAGGUGCUUGCACCUUAUCUUAGCGGCGGACGGGUGAGUAAUGCUUAGGAAUCUGCCUAUUAGUGGGGGACAACAUUCCGAAAGGAAUGCUAAUACCGCAUACAUCCUACGGGAGAAAGCAGGGGAUCUUCGGACCUUGCGCUAAUAGAUGAGCCUAAGUCGGAUUAGCUAGUUGGUGGGGUAAAGGCCUACCAAGGCGACGAUCUGUAGCGGGUCUGAGAGGAUGAUCCGCCACACUGGGACUGAGACACGGCCCAGACUCCUACGGGAGGCAGCAGUGGGGAAUAUUGGACAAUGGGGGGAACCCUGAUCCAGCCAUGCCGCGUGUGUGAAGAAGGCCUUAUGGUUGUAAAGCACUUUAAGCGAGGAGGAGGCUACUGAGACUAAUACUCUUGGAUAGUGGACGUUACUCGCAGAAUAAGCACCGGCUAACUCUGUGCCAGCAGCCGCGGUAAUACAGAGGGUGCGAGCGUUAAUCGGAUUUACUGGGCGUAAAGCGUGCGUAGGCGGCUUUUUAAGUCGGAUGUGAAAUCCCCGAGCUUAACUUGGGAAUUGCAUUCGAUACUGGGAAGCUAGAGUAUGGGAGAGGAAGGGGUAAAAAUUCCAGGUGUAGCGGUGAAAUGCGUAGAGAUCUG
rnacentral:rRNA from 1 species